GAUGAAGAACGCAGCGAAAUGCGAUACGUAAUGUGAAUUGCAGAAUUCAGUGAAUCAUCGAAUCUUUGAACGCAUAUUGCGCUCUCUGGUAUUCCGGAGAGCAUGCUUGUUCGAGUAUCAGUAAACACCUCAACUUCCAUAUCUUUUUUGAAAUGGGAGUUGGACUUGAGUGAUCCCAACGCUUUUCCUCACCGAAAAGUGGCGGGUUACUUGAAAUGCAGGUGCAGCUGGACUUUUCUCUGAGCUAUAAGCAUAUCUAUUUAGUCUGCCUAAAAAACAGAUUAUUACCUUUGCUGCAGCUAACAUAAAGGAGAUUAGUUCUUGUGCUGACUGAUGCAGGAUUCACAAAGACAGGCUUCGGCCGACUUUGUAAACUCGAUCUCAAAUCAAGUAAGACUACCCGCUGAACUUAAGCAUAUCAAUAAGCGGAGGA
rnacentral:misc_RNA from 1 species